UACGUAGGGGCCUAGCGUUGUCCGGAAUUAUUGGGCGUAAAGAGCUCGUAGGUGGUUCGGCAAGUCGGAUGUGAAAAUUUCGGAGCUUAACUCCGAAACUGCAUUCGAUACUGCGGUGCUUGAGGACUGGAGAGGAGACUGGAAUUCAUGGUGUAGCAGUGAAAUGCGUAGAGAUCAUGAGGAAGACCAGUGGCGAAGGCGGGUCUCUGGACAGUUCCUGACACUGAGACACGAAGGCCAGGGGAGCAAACGGG
rnacentral:rRNA from 1 species